rnacentral:rRNA from 1 species
AGCAUGGUCUUAGCUUGCUAAGGCCGAUGGCGACCGGCGCACGGGUGAGUAACGCGUAUCCAACCUGCCUUACACUCUUGGAUAGCCUUUCGAAAGAAAGAUUAAUACCUGAUAGUAUGGUGAGAUUGCAUGAUAGCACCAUUAAAGAUUUAUUGGUAAACGAUGGGGAUGCGUUCCAUUAGGUAGUAGGCGGGGUAACGGCCCACCUAGUCUUCGAUGGAUAGGGGUUCUGAGAGGAAGGUCCCCACAUUGGAACUGAGACACGGUCCAAACUCC